rnacentral:tRNA from 1 species
GCAGCUCAGAGGCAGAGCAUCUGCCUCGUAUGCAGAAGGUCGCAGGUUCAAUCCCCAACAGCA